CUCAGAGAUGUACGUGUGCUAUCAGGGUACAGUGCAGUCAGUUGGGACGUAGCACAGAGCUCAUUCAGUAAAUGCACAGCUGCACAGAUGAGUUUUGAGUCUGGAUUUAAAUGUGGCUAAUGUUUUAGCACAUCUGAUCUCUUCUGGAAGCUGCUUCCAGCUGAGGGCCGCAUAAUAGCUAAAAGCGGACUCUCCUGGUUUUGUGUGAACCCUUGGUAUUUCUAACUGCCUCCAAAAUGGCGCCACGGUGAGACGGAGUGGAGAUGUAUUGUUGAAAAAAAAAAAAGUUAUUUUUAUUUUCUUUGCAUACAAAAAGUAUUCUCGUUGCAUCAUAAAAUUCAGAUUGAACCACUGAUGGCAGAUGGACAAACCUGACGAUGCUUUUCAUACUUUUCUGUGCCUUGACAGUGGUAAUUAAUUGGCAGUAUGGGACAGAUAGCACACGUACGUGUGCAAGAUGUCUGUUAAAGAUCUCUUGAUCUGGAAAGCAUCUGCUGUCUAUAAACGUCUGACAGACGUCUGUAAGAUGUCAGUUUUACAUAGAUUCUAAAUCAUAAACAUCUUAAAGACAUCUAAUAGACGUCUAUUUGACAUCUAAAAGGAGACGUCCUAUAGACGUAUUGCAGAUGAGCAAACACCCUAAAAAAUACGUCUUGCAGAUGUAAACGCAGACGUCAAAUAGACAUCUCCGAGAUGUACGUGUGCUAUCAGGGAAGCGAUCGAACGAAUCGACGAUCGAAGCUUUUACGGGUUUGGAACGACAUAGGGGUAAUUGGAUUAAUGCCAAAAUUUCAUUUUGAGGUGGAGUAACCCUUUAAGAAGCACCCUCCGUGAUCUGAUUCUGGAUCCGGGCCUGCCUUACAAUACAGAACAAACAACAAAAAAUGGAAACACUGAUGUGACCUAAUUGUCCGUGAUCAUUUGUUUCAAACAGUAGAAUUAUAAUACACAAUAUAUUUAAUUCUAAAAUCACUUUAAGCAUGCAUUGCAUUAAACACAUUUAGCUUCAUAUUUAAUAAUCAUUUAAAAUAUUCAUAAGCAUUCCCUAUACAGGAAUAACUGCUGGAUAUCUCCAGUCACUCACCUUGGAGAAGAAAAACCAGGAGAACUCCUAAAAUGGAGCAGCAGGACUCUUGAAAGACGUUCAUGUCCAGAAGUUUAGACGACAGACUGAGGCAUCCGUGACAGCAGAUACAGAGAAACAGAAGAGAGAGAAACAGACUUCCUCACAGCAUCUCACGCAAGAGCACAAGCAUUUCAUCAACCAAAAUCUGCAGUUCAUGAGAAGUUGAAGUGAAGCAUUAUUUUGUGUCGAUGCAGAUGAGUAUGUACCACUGAACUACAGGAAAAUCAUGACAAUUCUGUGAUUAUUUACUUAUAUUUAGAGGUUUCAGUUCCUCUUGAAGCUCACAGACUCAAACAAUGUUCAGGCCAUUUCAGGAUAGUCGUGUUUCACGAUAGUCAAUGUCAGCUUUAGAGGAAAAGGCAGAUGGAUCUGUUGGUGGAUUUUGGCUGAGUAUAAUUAACAAACAAUUACAAAUUUACAACACUAUUAUAAAGACUUUCGAGAAGCUGAGAAUAGCAUUCAGUGCUCCAGAUCUGAUGACAGUCGACUGUCAUCAGAUUUCACUCAUGAACGCUGUUGUUGAAGUUCGGUUGAAUAAGAAAUUUGUAGUAAAUUUUAAUAAAUCAAGUGUUGAUGUAAAAUGUGUGGUUUAUAAAGAUCCUCAGAGUGUUUCCUCCGUCCUUCGUCUGAGCCAUUUCACAUUUACAGGAUUGGAAGUAAACUAUAACAGGAUAAACUUGUACAUGAGAGACCACAAUUAUUAUUAUUAUUUAUUUUGUGUGUGUUUGUGUUCCCACAAACUUUUUUGAACAUCAAUAUUUUAUUUCAGUGCUAAAAGACUGUAAUUGUGUAAAUGUAAUUAAAUCAGACAUCUGCCCUCUUAUAAAUAUAGACACUGAGGACAGAGAGACCUGAUACUUUGUGCUAAUACAUCUGAACAAUGUGUAGAUACUCCAUUACUGCUUUGUGUUUAGCCAAUGAAUUAUGAAUCUAAAUUAUGAGAAUUUGGUGCGUGCCGUUCAUCAGUCCGAUGAAAAAAUGGAUAAAAAUCCCAAAAAGGAGAAGAAGAAGAGGGUCAAGUUAGCGCUGUGUUCUUCAGUGGAUGUGAUGGACUCGUCCAGUGCAGCUCCUGAAGACCGUGACAAACCACCCUCAUCUUCCUCAUCUUCUUCAGGCAAACGCAGAUUUAAAGGUCUGCGGCGCUUCUUCGGCAGAAUGCUGUCAUUCUGUGGCGUGUCCUCGUCUUCUGAGCAGGAUAAGACGUCUUCCAUCCAGACUCAGAAGACCAGCGACGACUCGAGUGCAGUCGGCAGAUCUUCUGAGGAGCUUCAAGAAGUUGAUCUGCUGACUGCCGACCAGAAGAAAGAAACAGUCGGAGCAGUAGUUCCUCCUGGUUCCUCCUCAUCUGCAGACGUCAGAUCCUCAGAACAAACACCGUCUGAGCUGCAGACUGAGAUUCAGGAGACUGAACCCGUCACAGCAGUAGUUGAAGGGACAGAACCUCCUUCUCUCAGUGUUGAUGGUCCUUCAUCUGCAGACAGAGUCUCUGCUCAAGAGUUUUGGGAGACAAAACCCUUCACAGACGCAGCUCUGACCUUCAUUGAUGUUGAACGUCUUGUAGAAUUGCUGGCCAGUUUUGGAGUCCAGUGGCAUGAUCUGAGCAAGGAUUCACUGAAGGAGCUGCUCAAGUCUUUGGAGGAACAGGAGGAAGCGUCUGAAGAGAAAUCAGCUGAGGAGGAUGAUGCUGAUCAAGCUGCGCUGGGUCUUCCUAAUUUAGGAAACACGUGCUAUAUGAACUCCGUCAUUCAGUGCCUCCUCAGCGUUUCUCCCUUUCGGGAAGAUUUGCUCUCGCAGCAGGAGAAUCACACAGACAGCGCCACACUGCUCAGAGCGUUAACUGACCUGCACAUGAGCCGGAUGGACAGCAGUGACUCUGAUCUGAAGGAAACACACUUGGCUAAAGUUAAAAGCUACAUAGAAAGUCACUUUCCAGUUUUCAAGGGACACUGUCAGCAGGAUGCACACGAGUUCUUCAUGGCUUGUCUGUCCCGUCUAAAAGUGGAAAGCAUGAGCUUGAGAUCAUCUCAUCCCUCAUACACUUGCCCCGUGUCCAGUAUGGAGUUCAAGCUCAGAAGCGAGCGCACCUGCAACAGCUGUGGCCUCAUGAAGAGUUUCACAGAGGAAUCAAACUGCCUCUCGCUGGUCAUCGGCCCUCAUGCGAGUCUCACAGACAGUCUGCAGCAGUACCUGAACGCGUCGUUCAUUGAUUGCGUGUGCAGUCUGUGUGGAGGACCACAGGCCUCUGAGACCCUGAAGUUUCUCUCUCUUCCUCGGGUCCUGGUCCUUCUGGUGCAGCGCUUUGACUUCACGUCCUCCAUGAUCAAGCUGAAGAAUCGACUGGAGAUUCCUGAGGAGCUGACGCUGUCCUGCGUUAAAGAGAGAACAAAGCAGCCAGAGACAGACGAAAACAGCAGAGCAGGCAGCCGAUCAUUUCGCCAGAAAAUAUUCAGGAAAAAGAACAGAGUUGCUCCACAGACACCACAGGAAGAAGCUCCAGUCGUCAUCAGCUCACAGUACAGACUCUCUGCUGUUGUGUCUCAUGUGGGAAGCCAUUUGUUUUUUGGACACUACAUCAGUCAGAUCCGUGAGCGCAGGGAGGACGGAUGGCUGCGGUGCAGCGACGUGUCUGUCAGAAGAAGCAGCUGGAGCGAGGUGUCCGAGGACGCCGGGGACAACGGAUACUUGCUGUUUUACGUCAAGAGGAGUUUCAUCCCAUAAUAUUCAGUGUUCAGUCCUCACUUGUAUUUGGUCAGCUGCUUUGGGAUAAAAACUCUGAACUCCUCCUCACUCUUGUUUCUGCAGAUGAGCAGCGUUUGGUGCUCGACACUGAUUUGAAGAAGCAAAGAGCAACAGAUGAGGAAGAUCCCGUCGAGAGGGGGUCUUGAGAAACCCUCAUGCUCUGAUUGUCUCAUCAGCUCAUUGGUGAACAUUCCAGUCAGUUCCUGAAUCUGAUCCUUGAAGCCUGUGUGAACUCGACCCUGCCUGGAACCUGGUGUUUCUCUCUCUGCCUGAACCCCCAUCAAGAGUCAGCAAGUUUGACUCUCUUUAUCUGCUGCUCUGGAAGCUGGAUUGUCAGUUCAUUGUGGAUCGGGAUUUGGAUUGUGGAAUUAUUGUUUUGGAUUUGGGACUGGAAAAGGAUAAAGGAGAUUGGAUUGUGUUGUCUUCAGUACUCUUUGUUCUCUACUCUGCUAUUACUCCUCAGAACAUCUUCGAGAACACUCUGGUAGACUUUCCUGUGUGGGACAGUGUCUCCGCCUGUCACGUGGUAGACUGGGGUUCAAUUCCCAAGCUGGUCACCCCACCCACUUCAAAAGACCACCUGUCAGCUGUACUGAUCCAGAUCAGCGAUUCUGAACCAGGGGCCACUAGGGGCCUCAGCAAACAUGUAAGAGGGCCUCAAGAUGACUUAACAUCUUCACAUAUACAGUGGGUACGGAAAGUAUUCAGACCCUCUUAAAUUUUCCACUCUUUGUUAUAUUGCAGCCAUUUGCUAAAAUCAUUUAAGUUCAUUUUUUUCCUCAUUAAUGAACACACAGCACCCCAUAUUGACAGAAAAACACAGAAUUGUUGACAUUUUUGCAGAUUUAUUAAAAAAGAAAAACUAAAGUAUUCAGACCCUUUGCUGUGACACUCAUAUAUUUAACUCAGGUGCUGUCCAUUUCUUAGAAGACUGGUUGCAAUCGAGGGAAAGAUGAAUGCGACCAAGUACAGGGAUAUCCUGGACGAAAACCUUCUCCAGAGUGCUCAGGACAUUUGGAUAUUUAGCCUAAUUCAAUGCUUGUUCUGUUUUAAAUCUUUUUAUUAGUUUCCCAGAAACCAAGAGCUCCAGGCUGUUCUACAUACUGAGAAAAAAUGAACUCGCACUCAAACUUCAUUCAAUUUAAAAUCAACAAAAAAUUUGAAAAUGGACUCGGAAGAUGAAUUUUAUUUUGCUUCCACACACUCUACAGGGGGGUCAAACUCAUUUUCACUGAGGGCCACUUCAACAUUAUGGCUGCCAUCAAAUGGGACGGUUGUAACUGUAAGAUUGUACAAAUAUUACUCAACAUAUUGUUAAAUAACUGUCUCUUUAUUUUAUUAUUACUUAAAAGAACCAAAGACUUAAACUACUUCAGUCUGUGUGCAUUGAAUUUAUUUAAUACACAAGUUUCACAAUUUUAGUUUUACGACAUUCUAAUUUAUUGAGAUGCACCUGUAUAUAAACUUUCAAGUUUCACUUGUGACUGCACUAAUAGAGCAAGAUAAUUUCAUUUAUCAUUUAUCUUUCAUGGACAAUUACCUCAGUGUAAAUGUGUUUAAAUUCCUCAUAUUAUUUAAUCUCUUAAACUUUAACAAAAGAAUUUUGAAUCUCGCUGGCUCUCUCGCGAGAAGUGAAUCACUCCAUGUUGUGAUUGGCUGUUCGCCACUGAUGUCACACAUUCAUGUGCACGCGCUCCACAAACUCAGGAUCAAAGCCUGAGUUGACAAAGAAAGUUGAUGGUCAGCAUCAUGGUACCAAUAAAGCUGGAUUGGAGUGGUUUGGUUUUGUUAACUCGAAACUAGUGAUGUUAUGUUCUGUGCUUUGGAGCGUGUGUUGAGAAAUCCCAGAAGCUUUCAGUGAAGCGCAUAUCGAGGCUUGUAUCGCUUUGGAGCAAUUACGUCAUUGAUGACGUCUAAAACCUUGUUUCCACCUGACUGGUUCAGGAAUCGGUUUGAAUCUUCCCAGCAGGCACCAGAUGUCUAUGUAACGUCGGGUUGACGUUGGACAUGACGUCGGACAGACGUUGCAUUUUGGUUGAAAAUGAAAAUCGGGUUGACGUCAAUUUGACGUUGACUUAGACGUUGGAUUUUGGUUACACAACCUAAAAACAACAAAAUCUCAACAUCAGCUGACGUCGGAAUUGAACAUCAAUUUAACAUUGACAUUGAAUUUACAUUGAAUUUUGGUCACCCGACGUCGCAACCGACAUUUAACCAUUGUGUGCCUGUUGUGUGCCUGCUGGGUUGGCGCGACAUUUUGAUAGCUAUAUAAACCCAUGGGAUCCGCUCAAAAUGUGUGGUUGUGACAGAGGUGAGUUUUGGUUAUUUGAUUGUGUAUCUUAUUUGAUAGUUUUGCUUGUUGUUUCUAUGGAGUCAGCAAAAAAAGAGAAAGACUUCCCCUGUAUGGGAAUACUUUGAUCAGAUUUCUUCUAACAAGGUAGGCAUACAUGCAUACAUAGAUAUAUACAGUAUUGUUCAAAAUAAUAGCAGUACAAUGUGACUAACCAGAAUAAUCAAGGUUUUUAGUAUAUUUUUUAUUGCUACGUGGCAAACAAGUUACCAGUAGGUGCAGUAGAUUCUCAGAAAACAAACAAGACCCAGCAUUCAUGAUAUGGACCCUCUUAAGGCUGUGCAAUUGGGCAAUUAGUUGAAAGGGGUGUGUUCAAAAAAAUAGCAGUGUGGCAUUCAAUCACUGAGGUCAUCAAUUUUGUGAAGAAACAGGUGUGAAUCAGGUGGCCCCUAUUUAAGGAUGAAGCCAGCACUUGCUAAACAUGCAUUUGAAAGCCUGAGGAAAAUGGGUCCAAGGGCCACAGGCAGUUUGUGAGACCACCCCCAAACUCUGAAUUCAAGCCACAGUACACAGUGAAGCAUGGUGGUGCAAGCAUCAUGAUAUGGGCAUGUUUUUCCUACUAUGGUGUUGGGCCUAUUUAUCGCAUACCAGGGAUCAUGGAUCAGUUUGCAUAUGUUAAAAUACUUGAAGAGGUUAUGUUGCCCUAUGCUGAAGAGGACAUGCCCUUGAAAUGGUUGUUUCAACAAGACAAUGACCCCAAACACACUAGUAAACGAGCAAAGUCUUGGUUCCAAACCAACAAAAUUAAUGUUAUGGAGUGGCCAGCCCAAUCUCCGGACCUUAAUCCAAUCGAGAACUUGUGGGGUGAUAUCAAAAAUGCUGUUUCUGAAGCAAAACCAAGAAAUGUGAAUGAAUUGUGGAAUGUUGUUAAAGAAUCAUGGAGUGGAAUAACAGCUGAGAGGUGCCACAAGUUGGUUGACUCCAUGCCACACAGAUGUGAAGCAGUUUUAAAAAACUGUGGUCAUACAACUAAAUAUUAGUUUAGUGAGUCACAGGAUUGCUAAAUCCUAGAAACAAAAACGUUUGUACAAAAUAGUUUUGAGUUUGUACAGUCAAAGGCAGACACUGCUAUUUUUUUGAACACACCCCUUUCAACUAAUUGCCCAAUUGCACAGCCUUAAGAGCGUGCAUAUCAUGAAUGCUGGGUCUUGUUUGUUUUCUGAGAAUCUACUGCACCUACUGGUAACUUGUUUGCCACGUAGCAAUAAAAAAUAUACUAAAAACCUUGAUUAUUCUGGUUAGUCACAUUGUACUGCUAUUAUUUUGAACAAUACUGUACAUACAAUAUUACCAAUGCAUUGUAUUUGUAAGAAACAUUCAAUUUCAUCAUUUCUUAUGUGUAUGUUGUGCUCUAAGGAAUUGGGGUACAAUAAUAACACUUAAUCUAUGCUAAGGCAUUACCAUGCUUUGCAUGAGAACAAGGAGGGAAAUGGAUGUGAGCCCAGCCAAGCCACCAGAAAACAAGAGCUGGAUGAGGCCCUGGUCACAAUGAUUGUGAAGGACACACAGCCAUUUAGUAUUGUGGGGAUGUGGGAUUUAGGGACUUUGUUCAGAAACUAGACCCAACAAGGCAGGGCUGUAAAGGCCAUGGUGGAGGCAAAAUAUGCCGAGUCCAAGGAGAAGGCCAAAGCUGAAGUGAAGAAGGUGACUGCAGUGUACCUCAACAUGCAUGCCUACCUGACAGUAACUUGCCACUUUGUGUACAACAACACCUGUCUCAAUUCAGUUUUGUUAGGAGUACUGAAAUUUCCUCAGGCACAUACUGCUGAAAAUUUAGCUCAUGUGAAGGCCUCCCUCAUGGAGGAAUGUGGGAUAACCAACAAUGUAACAUGCCUGGUUACCGAUGGUGCUGCUAAUAUGAUUAACUGAUGAACUGAGGCUCCGUCACACAAUCUGCAUUGCACACACUCUUAACCUGAUAGUUAAAAAGGCUCUUGACCAGACCCCUGUGCUCGCUGACAUUCAGGGCCAAGGCAAGAAAGCUUGUGGGAUACUUCAGAAGCAACACCACUGCUAAGGAAUAAACUUGUACAGCUGCAACAGCAGAUGGGAAGGCCUACACUGAAGCUCCUUCAGGAGGUGGAGACCCACUGGAACAGCACCUUUCAAAUGCUGCACCGUCUGGUGGAGCUCAAAGAGCCAGUAGGGGCAGCUUUAGCCAGUCUGGCCACUGAGAUACCCGCACUGAGCUCUGAUGAAUUCACCUCUACGAGUGCAUGCUUUUCAUUGCUUUCAGGCUUUAAUAACGCAACUGUGGAACUGUCAGAAGAAAAAAGGUUUCUGGGUCUAAGGUAUUGCUACUGCUUGAAAUGCUAGAUGAAAAUCUGCAGGAAGAGAUGGCAAAUAUGGCAUCUCCAGUGGCAAGAAAAAUGGGAGAACAUCUGAAAAGACAGUUAAGUUAGAAGCUUAACACACUGCAAUCUAUGAGCAUCAUGUCACUUGCAACAAUGCUGGACCCUAGGUUCAAAGCGAUAGGAUUUUUUUUUUUAGAGUGUGCUGCCAUAAGUAGCUCUGCAGCUCAACCAUCAGCAUCACAGCGGGCUGAACUUGUAACCCCAGGUAACAAAGUGUGGCGUCAUCUGGAUUACAGUGUGUUGAGUCUCUGGGACUGUGGCCUGGGUCCCACCAUUUGCUCAAGCCAGGAAAUGCCCUUUCAUUAUGGCGUCUCCCUCCACAGCCAGAACGCAUUGACACUGUGUUUGCACUCCCAUCCCACAAUUUCUUUCAGCUCCAUCCAUUUUUUAUUUGGAACCCAGAAAGUGACAUCAUGGUGAGACUAAGAAAUAAUUAUAUACUCCCAUGUCUUCAUGGUUGUCCAAAGCCAGAUGUAGUCUCAGCUGGUGUGGGUAGGCCUCGAGUGAUUAUUGGCACCAGUGGACAAUACUACAUCUUUGCUUCAUGCCUUCGCUGCAGGAUGUGCAAGAGGAUCUGGUUUGCUGACAGUCCUCAGUGGACAGGGAAACUGCCAAAGCGGUUCACAAGCAUUUUGCCAGCAUUUCUAACUUACAAGAAGGCCAUUUGCAAGUCUGUGCUUCAUGAGCGUGUGGAGUCUCUGUCUCUGCUCACUAUCUGACAACGUUACAGCAGACGCUACUGUGGAUGUCCAGCGGUACCUUGCAGAACCAAAUAUUGAGCGAUUGGAGGACCCCCUUCUUAUAUAUACUCAUCUGUAUAGACUUGCUGUCAAGUAUUUAUGUACCCCGGCUUCAUCUGUUCCUUGCGAAAGGGUGUUUUCAAAGGCAGGAGAAGUUAUGUCAAAAAAAAGAAAUUGCCUUAGCCCUAAAACAGUUGAGAAAUUAAUGUUUCUAAAUAAAAAUGUCUUCAUCAUUUUCCUUGAUACACAAGACUUGAUUUACACACAUUUGAUAGCCCCAUUCAUUUCAAGCCAAUAAGUUUAUUACACAGUUAUGUUAUACAAUAAUUAUAUGCCACCAGAAAACAAACAUUAUAUUCAUAUAAAUAUAUUAAUCUAUGUGGAAAUAGAUUUUUUCUUCACUGUUAUUUCUAAGCCUUAACUGGUGCAAAAUACAGUGUGUCACAGAUCACAUCAGGUCAUCUGUGAUGUAUCCACUUGCUUUACACUCUUUGGCCACCAGGUGGUAUUGUGAGCAAAUGAAGCCUCGAGAAAUUAACCCUUUUGUAAACCACUUGGCUGAAAAGCUUCAAUGCUUCAUGAGGCUUCAUCUCGCCACCACUACUCGAAACUAAUCCUGUAACUCUGAAUUUUUCAUCUACCAUCAUGGUACCACAGGCCCCAGGUGAUCAGAGGAGUAAACUUAGCUUGGAUUUCAAAGGCACUGUCUCUCGAAGCCGAACUGGGGGAAUGGCAGUCAGUAGAACUGAGAUGAAGAUAAUAUAUAAAAUAUAUAAUAAUCCAGGUAAACACUGGUUAGGAGUCAGGUAAGUUGAGCUGUAGUGAUCAAUGAGACUGGACAACAGUGAGGGGAAGCGUGACUAGCACUGUAGCGUCACUGUUGUGCCAUUUUGGAGAGUAUCUGCUGGACGCAAACUGUUCUGUGUCAGC